rnacentral:misc_RNA from 1 species
AACGCACAUUGCGCCCACUAGUAUUCUGGUGGGCAUGCCUGUUCGAGCGUCAUUUCAACCCUCAAGCCUGGCUUGGUGUUGGGGCUCUGCGCCUGCAGUCCCUUAAAUCCAGUGGCGGACACGCUAGGUCUCCGAGCGCAGUAGUUACAUCUCGCUCUGGGCGUGGCGGCGGGCACCUGCCGUGAAACAUUCUUUCUAAGGUUGACCUCGGAUCAGGUAGGAAUACCCGCUGAACUUAA